CCAAAGUCUGAAAAUCUUGACUCCUUGAGACACUUCCUUCUGAGUUCCAGAAGCCAGUAGUACAGAGUAUGAUUUUACCUUAAAUCAGUCGACCUUGUCUUUUCCCUGUGACUGCAGACUCUCUGGUUUCAGGUGUGGCUUUUGGCCAGUUGGUCCUCCUGUUACUUGGAAACCCGACUUCACUCUUUGCUCCUGUUGGUUGCUUAUCUUUGUGAGUUUUUUCCAUCUCUUAUUGGUAGUCACUGAAAUGUCUCUUUGCUGCUGCAGCUCUAGCGUUCACGCACACCUGUCAUGCCAGGAUUGAGGACAGCAAGGAAGUGUCAUGUCUAGUACCAGUUCUGAUCGCAGGAAACUGCCUCACGUGCCAUCCUGGAAUAAGAUUAAACUACAGGAUAUGUCAAAUUGUGAUGACUGGUUAGACACUCUGGAUACUGAAGACCACUGGAUAUGGUGAUGAAUUACAUCUCAAUAAAGUUGUUUUUAAAACAACACACAAGCUCAAGCAAAGGCUUUGCCAAGUGGCCAGCCUUGGUGGAGCAAUGGAGGAUUCACGCCGUGGAGACCAGUGGAUGCCCAUGUAGGCUGUGGCUUAGUAGAAGAUGUACCGGGCCAGGGACUCAGAUGUGAAAAGACAAGAUUCACACCAGCAGUUAAUCCUUGCAUGUAAUAUCUGGGGAAAUUUUCCAUCCAUUUCAACUGGAAUCGAGGAUCAAGAAUUCUGUGUGAGAAAAUCUCCUCCCAUCUGAGAGUCGACUUUCAGAGCACAACCUUCCUAGAUGGCAGCACCCCUCUCUAGACUGCGAAUGUGGCAAACAGCCCUCUGCAAGAGCCCUUUGCAGCUGCUGUCCUUGGGCUUGGAGUGCUUUCCCCCAGUUGUGCACAUACUGGGAAUUCAGCAACCUGGAAAGAAGGGCAGGACGCUGCAAACGGAACGGUACCAGCAAAGACACUGUAGUGGAAGUGAGAAGGCAGAGCUAAGAGUGGAAGGCAGGAGCGCAGGAGGGGGCGGCACUCAGCACAACUUAACAUCCAGCGAUUUUGCCUGGGGCAACGACCAGCCUCCCAUCCCUACACACAGCACCACGGAGACUGGAGAGCCAUCUGCCAGGGGGUACUGAGCGGAGGUUGAAUGCUUUCCAAGGCCCUUCUGGAUUCUAAUUCUCAUUGGCUGGAGGUAGGUAGCUGGAGCACGAUGCAGGGGAAGUGAACACAGGGUGUGUUUGGGGCUCAUUACCAUCCUGCUAUUUGAUGCGACAGACUUUUUGCUUAAGCAAACCUUAGACUUCCAAACCUUUUCUUAGGCCCCCUCUUCCUUGUAAAAUCUAGUUUUAGUGAGUCCCCUGUCCUUCACAUCUGAACCCCCUUAAUAUCUAGUCAUCCCGCACCAUCACCCCAGGGAGAUGUCCAACUACCCUGCCCUUUCUCCAGCAAGAAUCCUAAGUCAGUUUAGCCAAACCCCUCUGACCCCUAAAGCUUCCCCUUAGAAAGUUCCCAUCCACUGACCCCCUCCCUGCUCCUUUGCUAUAAAUCCCCAUGUGGCCAUACAAAAACCACUUGGGAAAGGGUCAGGAAGAGUAUGUGCCACGGGUUUGCUUCUAUUAUGACCUUCACUUGGAAAUCCCCCCGCCUCCAAGACCUCAAUUCUGAAACCUUGCCCUGUAACAGCAAUCCAUCUUUCCCGCUCAGGACUUGAUGCUGGUCAGAUGUAAGAGGAUGAGAAUAAUUAAUCUUUUUAAAUUUUUAUUUUUUUGGCUGCACUGGGUCUCUGUUGCUGCUCUGAGGCUUUCAUUGAGUGGCCCUGCUGAAUCUCAGGCAGAGAAGGGACUGAGCCCUCCCGUGCAGUGACAGGCCAUCACCCAGCAGCUCCACGUGCUCAGGAGUCUUUCCCAGAGCUUCACAACUGCACCUGCACACGAGGAGCAGGCACCUCCUGCUGCACUUCCUCUCCUUCACCACGCAGAACCUAGUGAGGCCUUGCUCAGCGUUUAGCUCCUAGAAACGUUCUCCAUUUCAUGACCAGUUCUUCUCAGUGUAAAUGUUUAGGCUCUACCCUCAGGAAGUAUACUUCAUGGGUCUGACUAGAACUCAGACACCUGUGUGACUCGCAAGCAGCCUAGUGACCCUGCUGUGAUGGUUCAUGGUCUGCACUUGGAGAAACAAAGUCAGUCUCAAGUCUGUGGUGGGCGUCAAAGAAGAGCCAAAAUUAUGAGUUUAAAAAAAUUAAAACCAUAUUAGAUGGCCAAUCACAGUAUAUGAUCCAGAAUUUUUCAGAGGCUAGAGUUCCAGACAUUUCCUCAUCUUCUCCAUCUCAGCUUUCUUCAUGACCAUAACCCCCCAUCCCCUGCCAAGAGCCAAACCAAGAAAUCUCAAUGUGCCUGUUGUUCUGUUUUGGGCUGUGUGAUAUGGCUUGCAGGAUCUUAGUUCCCCAACCAGGGAUUGAACCUUGCACCCAGACAGUGAGAGAACCGAGUCCCAACCACUGGACCUCCAGGAACUUCCUCACUAUGUCCACUGUGACCCAGCAUCUAAGUAGGCUCCUGUCAAGGAUCCCACAUUCAGAAGCACCUUUCCAGUCCUGGUUGCUGGUGCGAAGUACUGCACCACACAGAAGGACAUGCAGCACGUAAAACCCUAAAGGCAGGCGUGUGUAAGCGGCCAUGAGAAUGAGACAGCCCGUGUGUGGCAUGCAGUGUGCCGUGUGCAGAGGACAGGCUGGGGUCAAGGGAGGGAGGUUCCAGGUUUGAGAUUAGAGGAGAAAUAAAUGGUUGUUUGUAAAAAGUUUUAAAGAUUAAUUUUUUAAGAUUCCAUUCAUAGUCACUAAUGUUUGCUUAAACUGAAAUAAAUUUGGCCCCUGCACAAAG
ensembl:lncRNA